UACGGAGGGAGCUAGCGUUGUUCGGAAUUACUGGGCGUAAAGCGUACGUAGGCGGUUAUUCAAGUCAGAGGUGAAAGCCCGGGGCUCAACCCCGGAACGGCCUUUGAAACUAGGUAGCUAGAGUCUUGGAGAGGUUAGUGGAAUUCCGAGUGUAGAGGUGAAAUUCGUAGAUAUUCGGAGGAACACCAGUGGCGAAGGCGGCUCACUGGUCCAUUACUGACGCUGAGGUGCGAAAGCGUGGGGAGCAAACAGG
rnacentral:rRNA from 1 species